GAUGAAGAACGCAGCGAAAUGCGAUAAGUAAUGUGAAUUGCAGAAUUCAGUGAAUCAUCGAAUCUUUGAACGCACAUUGCGCCCCCUGGUAUUCCGGGGGGCAUGCCUGUCCGAGCGUCAUUACAAACCUCAAGCUCAGCUUGGUAUUGGGCCCCGCCGACCCGGCGGGCCCUAAAGUCAGUGGCGGUGCCGUCCGGCUCCGAGCGUAGUAAUUCUUCUCGCUCUGGAGGUCCGGUCGUGUGCUCGCCAGCAACCCCCAAUUUUUUUCAGGUUGACCUCGGAUCAGGUAGGGAUACCCGCUGAACUUAAGCAUAUCAAUAAGCGGAGGA
rnacentral:misc_RNA from 1 species